UACGAAGGGGGCUAGCGUUGCUCGGAACCACUGGGCGUAAAGCGCACGUAGGCGGACUCUUAAGUCGGUGGUGAAAUCCUGGAGCUCAACUCCAGAACUGCCUUCGAUACUGAGAGUCUCGAGUCCGAGAGAGGUGAGUGGAACUGCGAGUGUAGAGGUGAAAUUCGUAGAUAUUCGCAAGAACACCAGUGGCGAAGGCGGCUCACUGGCUCGGUACUGACGCUGAGGUGCGAAAGCGUGGGGAGCAAACAGG
rnacentral:rRNA from 1 species